GACGAACGCUGGCGGCGUGGAUUAGGCAUGCAAGUCGAACGGUAGGAUACCUUCGGGUAUCUGAGAGUGGCGAACGGGUGAGUAACACGUAGGUGAUCUACCCUCAAGAUUGGGACAACCCAGGGAAACUUGGGCUAAUACCGGAUGAAAGCAGCAGUGAUGUUGUUUGAAAGGUGGCGUAAGCUGCCGUUUGGGGAUGAGCCUGCGCUCUAUUAGUUAGUUGGCGGGGUAAAGGCCCACCAAGGCGAUGAUAGAUAGGCGGCCUUAACGGGUGGUCGCCCACACUGGGAUUGAGAUACGGCCCAGACUCCUACGGGAGGCAGCAGUCGAGAAUAGUCUACAAUGGCCGAAAGGCUGAUAGUGCGACGCCGCGUGAACGAAGAAGCCCUUGGGGUGUAAAGUUCUUUUAUAUGUGAGCAGUGCUUUCUAUGUGAACAGCAUGGGGAGAGAGAUAUUAGCAUAUGAAUAAAGCAAACGGCUAAACUCCGUGCCAGCA
rnacentral:rRNA from 1 species